rnacentral:rRNA from 1 species
UAAGCAGAUAGUGAAAGCGUGCGGCUCAACCGCAUAUACAUUAUUUGAACUGCUAAGCUAGAGUGUGAGAGAGGUAGCUGGAAUUCCUUGUGUAGGAGUGAAAUCCGUAGAUAUAAGGAGGAACACCGAUGGCGUAGGCAGGCUACUGGCUCAUUACUGACACUAAGGCACGAAAGCGUGGGAGCGACCGGGAUUAGAUACCCCGUUAGUCCACGCCGUAAACGAUGGAUGCUA